AGGGGGGCUUGCCCCCUGAUUCAGCGGCGGACGGGUGAGUAAUGCCUAGGAAUCUGCCUGGUAGUGGGGGACAACGUCUCGAAAGGGACGCUAAUACCGCAUACGUCCUACGGGAGAAAGUGGGGGAUCUUCGGACCUCACGCUAUCAGAUGAGCCUAGGUCGGAUUAGCUAGUUGGUGAGGUAAUGGCUCACCAAGGCGACGAUCCGUAACUGGUCUGAGAGGAUGAUCAGUCACACUGGAACUGAGACACGGUCCAGACUCCUACGGGAGGCAGCAGUGGGGAAUAUUGGACAAUGGGCGAAAGCCUGAUCCAGCCAUGCCGCGUGUGUGAAGAAGGUCUUCGGAUUGUAAAGCACUUUAAGUUGGGAGGAAGGGCAUUAACCUAAUACGUUAGUGUUUUGACGUUACCGACAGAAUAAGCACCGGCUAACUCUGUGCCAGCAGCCGCGGUAAUACAGAGGGUGCAAGCGUUAAUCGGAAUUACUGGGCGUAAAGCGCGCGUAGGUGGUUUGUUAAGUUGGAUGUGAAAUCCCCGGGCUCAACCUGGGAACUGCAUCCAAAACUGGCAAGCUAAAGUAGGGGCAGAGGGUGGUGGAAUUU
rnacentral:rRNA from 1 species